rnacentral:rRNA from 1 species
GACGAACGCUGGCGGCGUGCUUAACACAUGCAAGUCGAACGGUGAAAGCGGAGCUUGCUCCGCUGGAUCAGUGGCGAACGGGUGAGUAACACGUGGGCAACCUGCCCCUCACUUCGGGAUAACUCCGGGAAACCGGGGCUAAUACCGGAUAUGACCUCCUUGGGCAUCCUUGGAGGUGGAAAGUUUUUCGGUGAGGGAUGGGCCCGCGGCCUAUCAGCUUGUUGGUGAGGUAGUGGCUCACCAAGGCGACGACGGGUAGCCGGCCUGAGAGGGCGACGGGCCACCCGGGGACUGAGACACGGCCCAGACUCCUACGGGAGGCAGCAGUGGGGAAUAUUGCGCAAUGGGCGAAAGCCUGACGCAGCAACGCCGCGUGCGGGAUGACGGCCUUCGGGUUGUAAACCGCUUUCAGCAGGGAAGAAGCCGCAAGGUGACGGUACCUGCAGAAGAAGCACCGGCUAACUACGUGCCAGCCGCCGCGGUAA